rnacentral:rRNA from 1 species
AGUAACACGUGGGUAACCUGCCCUGAUGAUUGGGACAACCCGAGGAAACUCGGGCUAAUACCGAAUGUGCCCUCUGGCCUCAAGGCCGCUGGGGAAAGGAAGCUUCGGCCUCCGCAUCGGGAUGGGCCCGCGGCCCAUUAGCUUGUUGGUGGGGUAAUGGCCCACCAAGGCGACGAUGGGUAGCUGGUCUGAGAGGACGAUCAGCCACACUGGGACUGAGACACGGCCCAG